rnacentral:rRNA from 1 species
UACGUAGGGUGCAAGCGUUGUCCGGAAUUAUUGGGCGUAAAGGGCGUGUAGGCGGUUUUGUAGGUCCGGUGUGAAAACUCGAGGCUCAACCUCGAGAUGUCGGCGGAAACCACUUGGCUAGAGUCCGGAAGAGGAGAGUGGAAUUCCUGGUGUAGCGGUGAAAUGCGCAGAUAUCAGGAAGAACACCUAUGGCGAAGGCAGCUCUCUGGGACGGUACUGACGCUGAGACGCGAAAGCGUGGGGAGCGAACAGG